AUUGCACUUAGUUGCAGUCAUUUCAGAUGUUAGAAGUAGACGCAAGUGAUGUACCAGUUUAGGAAAAUGCUUUGUUGCUUAAGAAUCUUGACAUAUGAAUGGCUUUAAUCAUGCAACUAUGCUAGCAGAAAACUUAACUGAAGACAUGUCAGCCCUUAAACAAAAAAAUCCAUAUUUUCACCUGAAUCCAGUCGGGAAAGGUUAUCAAGAAUCUGAUGCAUUCAGCUCUAAGGCUUCUCCCACACUAUGGUAUCCUUCCAAAACAAGAUUUUCGAUGCAGAAAAGUACAUACCUAAUAUUACUAAAGGCUUGACAACCUAAGAUAGCUAAAAUAAUGGCG
rnacentral:misc_RNA from 1 species